rnacentral:lncRNA from 1 species
UGUGUAAAUACUGAAAAGAUGCAAAUCAAAAUGAUUUAUGCUAAUAUUUUCUUCUUUAUCUCCCCCACUCCCCCAAAGAACCAUGAAAAUCCUAGAAAAGAUUCUCGAGGAAACAAAAGUGGAAGGGGCCAUAUCGAUGCAUUCCUCUGAUUUAGUUGUUCUCCUGUUCAAACCCAAUCGUACCUCUGACGACCUUGAAAUUUUCGCCAGUGACAGCGAGGCAGGAUUGACGCCUGUCGCCAACAGGAGAGUGCACGUUCGACUACCGAGAGAAGUUGGAGAAGGGGGGAAAAAGAUUAUCUUUUCCAUGUUUAAGUUUCCUGAAACAAGUAUGUUUGGAACCUUACAUGAAGUGUAUGAACAGCGACUGGUUGGCCUGAGUGUGCAGGGCAAGAAAAUAUCAGGACUACAAGAGCGCUUCAACAUCACCAUGAAUUUCACCACAACAAUAAAUGUAACUACUGAUUUAAUUUAAUAUUUUACUCCAAUCUUACUUUCUAUACCUUUAUA